UGCAGUCGAGCGCACCCUUCGGGGCGAGCGGCGGACGGGUUAGUAACGCGUGGGAAUGUACCCUUCUCUAUGGAAUAGCCUCGGGAAACUGAGAGUAAUACCAUAUACGCCCUUCGGGGGAAAGAUUUAUCGGAGAAGGAUCAGCCCGCGUAAGAUUAGAUAGUUGGUGGGGUAAUGGCCUACCAAGUCUACGAUCUUUAGCUGGUUUUAGAGGAUGAUCAGCAACACUGGGACUGAGACACGGCCCAGACUCCUACGGGAGGCAGCAGUGGGGAAUCUUGGACAAUGGGCGCAAGCCUGAUCCAGCCAUGCCGCGUGAGUGAUGAAGGCCUUAGGGUCGUAAAGCUCUUUCGCCAGAGAUGAUAAUGACAGUAUCUGGUAAAGAAACCCCGGCUAACUCCGUGCCAGCAGCCGCGGUAAUACGGAGGGGGUUAGCGUUGUUCGGAAUUACUGGGCGUAAAGCGCGCGUAGGCGGACCAGAAAGUUAGGGGUGAAAUCCCGGGGCUCAACCCCGGAACUGCCUCUAAAACUCCUGAUCUAGAGUUCGAGAGAGGUGAGUGGAAUUCCGAGUGUAGAGGUGAAAUUCGUAGAUAUUCGGAGGAACACCAGUGGCGAAGGCGGCUCACUG
rnacentral:rRNA from 1 species